rnacentral:rRNA from 1 species
AACGAACGCUGGCGGCAUGCCUAACACAUGCAAGUCGAACGAACCCUUCGGGGUUAGUGGCGCACGGGUGCGUAACACGUGGAAUCUGCCCUUUGCUUCGGAAUAACAGUUAGAAAUGACUGCUAAUACCGGAUGAUGUCGUAAGACCAAAGAUUUAUCGGCAAAGGAUGAGCCCGCGUAGGAUUAGGUAGUUGGUGGGGUAAAGGCCUACCAAGCCGACGAUCCUUAGCUGGUCUGAGAGGAUGAUCAGCCACACUGGGACUGAGACACGGCCCAGACUCCUACGGGAGGCAGCAGUGGGGAAUAUUGGACAAUGGGCGAAAGCCUGAUCCAGCAAUGCCGCGUGAGUGAUGAAGGCCUCGGUUGUAAGCUCUUUUACCUAGGGAUGAUAAUGACAGUACCUGGAGAAUAAGACUCCGGCUAACUCCGUGCCAGCAGCCGCGGUAAU